GACGAACGCUGGCGGCGUGCCUAAUACAUGCAAGUAGAACGCUGAAGGAGUAGCUUGCUCUUCUGGAUGAGUUGCGAACGGGUGAGUAACGCGUAAGUAACCUGCCUGGUAGCGUGGGAUAACUAUUGGAAACGAUAGCUAAUACCGCAUAACAGUAGAUGUUGCAUGACAUUUACUUAAAAGUUGCAAUUGCAUCACUACCAGAUGGACCUGCGUUGUAUUAGCUAGUUGGUGGGGUAACGGCUCACCAAGGCGACGAUACAUAGCCGAACUGAGAGGGUGAUCGGCCACACUGGGACUGAGACACGGCCCAGACUCCUACGGGAAGCAGCAGGAGGGAAUCUUCGGCAAUGGACGGAAGUCUGAACGCGCAACGCCGCGUGAGUGAAGAAGGGUUUCGGAUCGUAAAGCUCUGUUGUAGGAGAAGAACGAGUGUGAGAGUGGAAAGUUCACACUGUGACGGUAUCUUACCAGAAAGGAACGGCUAACUACGUG
rnacentral:rRNA from 1 species